UAGGGAAUCUUCCACAAUGGACGCAAGUCUGAUGGAGCAACGCCGCGUGAGUGAAGAAGGCUUUCGGGUCGUAAAACUCUGUUAUUGAAGAAGAACGUGUGUGACAGUAACUGGUCAUGCAGUGACGGUAUUCAAUCAGAAAGUCACGGCUAACUACGUGCCAGCAGCCGCGGUAAUACGUAGGUGGCAAGCGUUGUCCGGAUUUAUUGGGCGUAAAGCGAGUGCAGGCGGUCUUUUAAGUCUGAUGUGAAAGCCUUCGGCUUAACUGAAGAAGGGCAUCGGAAACUGGGAGACUUGAGUGCAGAAGAGGAGAGUGGAACUCCAUGUGUAGCGGUGAAAUGCGUAGAUAUAUGGAAGAACACCAGUGGCGAAGGCGGCUCUCUGGUCUGUAACUGACGCUGAGGCUCGAAAGCGUGGGGUAGCAAAACA
rnacentral:rRNA from 1 species